CCCUUAGAUGUUCUGGGCCGCACGCGCGCUACACUGAUGCAUGCAACGAGUUCUAUCCUUGGCCGGAAGGCCUGGGUAAUCUGUGAACGUGCAUCGUGAUAGGGAUAGAUUGUUGCAAUUAUUAAUCUUGAACGAGGAAUUCCUAGUAAACGCAAGUCAUCAGCUUGCAUUGAUUACGUCCCUGCCCUUUGUACACACCGCCCGUCGCACCUACCGAUCGAAGGUAAUGAUGAGCCCUCAGGAUUGUGGCCUCGUCGCGUCAGCGUCUUGGCUGCGAGAAUCUGUGCAAAUCCCUACCUUUAGAGGAAGGUGAAGUCGUAACA
rnacentral:rRNA from 1 species